GAUAAUGAUCAACCUAGGGUGCAAUCAUCGACACUUAUGCUUCAUCGCAAAUAGGUGGUGAGCCCUCUUGUAAGGGUAAGGAUAUCAUACCCCGAGGACCAGGAGUAGGAGUACUCCCGUUAUAGUUCAGAGCAAUCUGUAGACAGUCGAUUUUGUCGAGGGUUUGUUUUUGGAUUUGCACCCUUAGAAAUCGUUGGUCUACAGUCCCAUUUAUUUUUGUUAUUUUGGGGCU